rnacentral:lncRNA from 1 species
AUGUCUCAUGUAUUCUUUGUAGCCAUGGCACCUCGGAUAAGACUGAGCAUUUCAAAGCCUCUCCCAACCAUACGUGAAGCCCAUGAGGAAGCACUGGAAGAUUUAACCAGCAACCCAAAACUCUUGGCCACCAUGAGCCAAACACCAAACACCUCAGCCAACUCAGACUCUUACUCCAGCGAAGACUACAUCCAGUCCAUCUGCCACCUCGCCAGACCCACCUUCCCGUGCAUUCCUGAAACCAGUUGUAGGGCUCAAGACAGAAAGAUCCUGAAGACCCUUGAGGACAUGUCAUGGUCCCCAACACCUGUUGGGACCCGGCAGGGAGCAUCAAAAUGUAAAUUGACCAAUUUCAUCUCAAACGUGGUGCCACUAGGAAAACUUAUGCCUGUUCCUGAUGGUGCAGAAACGAACCUCCAUUGCAGAGAUGACCCCCUGGCACAGAUAUACACACGGGCAGGAAAGCUCUGCUACUCUACAGGUCCUUUAAGCAGUAAAAGCUCCAGCAGUGAUUACUCACUGUGUACUUCUUCUAGAUAUCUGGAUGCCCYGGGUGGUGAAAUUCAUCCCCCAAGCACGAAAGGAAAAGCCACAGAGAAACUGAAUUUGCCACGGGCGUUUGGUUUCCCAAGGCUUCCCUCUCCAAGACCAGCACAGAAAGAAAUGGUCUGCUCAGAGCUGAAGUGUCUCAGGAGGGAUGAUGAGGCAGUUUCGGGCAGUAACCAUGGUCAGAAAGAAAACGGCACUAUGUUUAUUGACGGGGAAGAGAUAUCGCCAUGCUCUGCCAGGGGGAAACGGCCAGGAAACAGGGUUUUGCACUGCUCUCUAAGAAAGCAGAGUUGCUUAUUCAAAAUAGCAGACACUGAUGAAAAGGAAGAGAGAGAAUCUCCUCGCUAUGACAAAAAUGUAAUAGGUGCUGUCCCUAACAAGCAGCAAUACACUGAGUGCUUCCAGGUAGCUCAAAAACCCAUGGUCCAUAACUGGAUUUCGGAGCACAGAUGCAUCUGGAAAGAGGCAAAGUUGAAAGCUUGUUUGCUCCCAGCCAUUGCUGAAGUAUGA